rnacentral:rRNA from 1 species
AACGAACGCUGGCGGCAUGCCUAACACAUGCAAGUCGAACGAGACCUUCGGGUCUAGUGGCGCACGGGUGCGUAACGCGUGGGAACCUGCCCUUAGGUUCGGAAUAACUCCCCGAAAGGGGUGCUAAUACCGGAUAAUGUCUUCGGACCAAAGAUUUAUCGCCUUUGGAUGGGCCCGCGUUGGAUUAGCUAGUUGGUAGGGUAAAAGCCUACCAAGGCGACGAUCCAUAGCUGGUCUGAGAGGAUGAUCAGCCACACUGGGACUGAGACACGGCCCAGACUCCUACGGGAGGCAGCAGUGGGGAAUAUUGGACAAUGGGCGAAAGCCUGAUCCAGCAAUGCCGCGUGAGUGAUGAGGGCCUUAGGGUUGUAAAGCUCUUUUACCCGGAAUGAUAAUGACAGUACCGGGAGAAUAAGCUCCGGCUAACUCCGUG